UACGUAGGGUGCAAGCGUUGUCCGGAAUUAUUGGGCGUAAAGAGCUCGUAGGCGGUUCGUCGCGUCGGCUGUGAAAACCCGGAGCUCAACCUCCGGGCCUGCAGUCGAUACGGGCGGACUUGAGUGUUGCAGGGGAGACUGGAAUUCCUGGUGUAGCGGUGAAAUGCGCGAUAUCAGGAGGAACACCGGUGGCGAAGGCGGGUCUCGUGGGCCGAUACUGCGCUGAGGAGCGAAAGCCGUGGGGAGCGAACAGG
rnacentral:rRNA from 1 species